rnacentral:rRNA from 1 species
UCCUACGGGAGGCAGCAGUGGGGAAUAUUGCGCAAUGGGCGGAAGCCUGACGCAGCGACGCCGCGUGGGGGAUGACGGCCUUCGGGUUGUAAACCUCUUUCAGUACCGACGAAGCGCCGAUGAUGGUGGUGACGGUAGGUACAGAAGAAGCACCGGCCAACUACGUGCCAGCAGCCGCGGUAAUACGUAGGGUGCGAGCGUUGUCCGGAAUUAUUGGGCGUAAAGGGCUCGUAGGCGGUUUGUCGCGUCGGGAGUGAAAACACCGGGCUUAACUCGGUGCUUGCUUCCGAUACGGGCAGACUAGAGGCAUGCGGGGGAGAACGGAAUUCCUGGUGUAGCGGUGAAAUGCGCAGAUAUCAGGAGGAACACCGGUGGCGAAGGCGGUUCUCUGGGCAUGUCCUGACGCUGAGGAGCGAAAGUGUGGGGAGCGAACAGGAUUAGAUACCCUGGUAGUCCACACCGUAAACGUUGGGCGCUAGGUGUGGGAUCCAUUCCACGGGUUCCGUGCCGCAGCUAACGCAUUAAGCGCCCCGCCUGGGGAGUACGGCCGCAAGGCUAAAACUCAAAGGAAUUGACGGA